rnacentral:misc_RNA from 1 species
GGGAACGGAUUCUCACGAGUUCUCCCCCAGAUGUUCUAAUCUACAGAUAACUACAUAUUUGUAUUAGGUUUUAAGUUAUUUUCACAUUUCAUGGUAUUGUCAUUAAUCAAAUUAUACACCUGUAUAAUGAUAAAUGAACAUUGAAUAAUUAUACCCAUGUAUAACAUGGUAAAUAAUGUAAAUAAAAUUCCUAUGAAUAUAGAUCUAUACAGUUUAGAUUUUAUUUUAAUUUUGCCUUGAUUGAGAAUUUUGACCGAGUUCUAUUUAAACAAAAAUCUUUGAAAUUCUUUUUUACGAUAAAUAUUCUAUUUAUUUAAAAAUUUGUUUAAAAGAAUUAUUUCUUUCAGUGAUUGAAAUACAUUAAUUUAUUUUAUGAAAUAAAUCAUAAAUUAUAUCAAUCUAC